rnacentral:lncRNA from 1 species
GCCCAGCCAAAAUCACAGAAUGAAGGCGGUGAAGAGCGAACGGGAGCGAGGGAGCCGGUCCCCACCCAAAAAGAAAAACAAGGCCUCAGGGAGAAGAAGCAAGUCUCCUCGCAGUAAGAGAAACCGAAGUCCUCACCACUCAACAGUCAAAGUGAAGCAGUCCGUUUUCAUGCUGUUGAUAAAGACAUACCCGAGACCCGGCGAUUUACAAAAGAAAGAGGUUUAAUGGACUUACAGUUCCACAUGGCUGGAGAGGCCUCACAAUCAUGGUGGGAAGCAAGGAGGAGCAAAUCACACGGAUGGCGUCAGGCAAGGAGAGAUAAAAGAGAGCGUGAGGAUCAUCCCCGGAGAGGACGGGAGGAUCGGCAGCACAGGGAACCAUCAGAACAGGAACACAGGAGAGCUAGGAACAGUGACCGGGACAGACACCGGGGCCAUUCCCACCAAAGGAGAACGUCUAACGAGAGGCCUGGGAGUGGGCAGGGUCAGGGACGGGAUCGAGACACUCAGAACCUGCAGGCUCAGGAAGAAGAGCGGGAGUUUUAUAAUGCCAGGCGACGGGAGCAUCGCCAGAGGAAUGACG